AUUGCAAGGAGGAGGGUGCUUGUAUAAGUGUGUGUGUAUGUGUGUGUGUGAGAGAGAGAGAGAGAGAGAGAGAGAGAGACAGGGAGAGAGUGUGCACUCAAAGACACACACACACACACUAGUGCAAGGUUGAAGCUGCUGGAUAUCAGUGUACGGGCUCCACAAGCCCACGAGCUCACCAGCAUGGACCAGGAUCUGGCGAGCAAAAGGCUCCACUCGAGGAUGGAGGCGUCCUGUCUGGAGUUGGCUCUAGAAGGUGAGCGUCUGUGCAAAGCCGGAGACUUUAAAGGUGGAACAGCGUUCUUCGAGGCCGCGGUUCAGGUAGGAACCGAGGAUCUGAAGACCCUCAGUGCCAUUUACAGCCAGCUGGGCAAUGCCUACUUCUACCUCAAGGAGUACGGCAAAGCUCUGGAGUAUCACCGGCACGACCUCACGCUCGCCAGGACGAUCGGAGACAGAAUAGGGGAAGCGAAGGCGAGUGGGAACCUGGGGAACACUCUGAAGGUACUCGGACGCUACGACGAGGCGGUCGUGUGCUGCCAGAGACAUCUGGACAUCUCGCAAGAGCAAGGAGACAAGGUUGGUGAGGCCCGGGCACUGUACAACAUCGGGAAUGUGUUUCAUGCUAAAGGGAAGCAGCAGUUGUGGGGAUGUUCUCAGGAGCCGGGAGACCUGCCGGGGGACGUGAGAGACACGUUACAGAGAGCCACAGCUUUCUACGAAAUGAACCUGUCUCUGGUGAAGGAGCUGGGUGACCGGGCCGCUCAGGGCCGGGCUUUUGGUAACCUUGGUAACACACACUACCUGCUGGGUAAUUUCGUCGAGGCCAUUAAAUUUCAUCGUGAGAGACUUUCCAUCGCUAAAGAGUUCGGAGACAAAGCAGCCGAGCGUCGAGCCUACAGCAACCUCGGCAACGCUCUGAUCUUCCUCGGCCAGUUCAGCUCAGCAACCGAGUACUACAGGAAAACACUGCAGCUCUCUCGGCAGUUGAAGGACCAGGUGAUGGAGGCUCAGGCAUGUUACAGUUUGGGAAACACAUACACACUGCUGCAGCAGUAUGAGCGCGCCAUCGACUACCACCUCAAACAUCUGCUCAUCGCUCAGGAGCUCAAUGACAGGGUGGGAGAAGGCCGUGCUUGUUGGAGUUUGGGAAAUGCCUACGUGUCCUUAGGAAACCAUCGUCAGGCUCUGCACUAUGCACACAAACACCUCGACAUCUCCCGAGAGAUCGGGGACAGGAAUGGGGAAUUGACGGCUCGGAUGAACGUACAGCAGCUGAUGGAGGUGCUGGAUGUGAAAGAGGGAGACCUCUCUCCAUGCGGCUCAGAGUUUGAGAUGCAGGGAGCUCGGCCGAAAUUUAAGAAGAGGAACAGUAUGGACAGUGUGGAUCUGUGGAAGUACACUUCUGAAAAGAACGGAGACGGACACGAUGUGGACGGCGUGUCCCAGAGGUCUAAACAUCAGCUGUCUCACUCCAGCAGGAGGAAAAAGUACACAGAGAGCCAGACGUCAGAGGACAGGCAGUGGCUGGACUCACCUGUGGACACGGAUGACAUCACUGUACAGGUAACGCCACAGAAGCUGGGUCGCGACCCCUCCGAUGAGGACUGCUUCUUCGACCUGCUCAGUAAGUUCCAGAGCAGCCGCAUGGACGAUCAGCGCUGCCGUCUCAGUGAGGACGCUAACGGUCAGGACACGCACAGUGAUGACGCCGCAGACUCGGCCAUCAGCGACAUGAUCGACGCCAGCCUCCUGGCCUCGCCUCAGACGGAGGAGCUCUUCGAUCUGAUCGCCAGCUCGCAGAGCCGCAGGCUGGACGACCAGCGGGUCAGUGUGGGGAACCUGCCGGGUCUCAGGAUUACCCACAAUAACCUGGGGCACCUGCGCGCCGAAGCUGAGCCUCAGGAGCCCAGCGACGACUUCUUCAACAUGCUCAUCAAGUGCCAGUCGUCCAGGAUAGAUGAUCAGCGGUGUUCUCCUCCUGAAGGCGGUCCCCGUGCCCCCACUGUGCCGGACGAGGACUUCUUCAGCCUCAUCCAGAGGGUUCAGGCCAAACGCAUGGACGAGCAGCGCGUCCAGCUUCCCUCUGAGAACCACUCGGAUAACGAGAACGCCGCUGGAGACUCCAGCUAGACCCUGCACACAGUCAGAGAGGGAGAGAGAGACUGAUGAUGGGAAGGUUUCUGGACUAUGACUGUAUCAUCUGUGUAUUUGUGUACGAGUGACUUCGUGCACUGUAUUUUAUCCAGGGUGACGUUUUAAACGCACCUUAUGUGGUUCAUUAGACACCAGCCACUAGUGUUGUUGUAGUGUGCACUCGCUAGCCGCUAAUCAACAUCCUGUAUGUCUUCAUUUAAAGUGGUGUGACGCGUUAACGCCCCGAGCCUUUCAGCGCGCUCGAUUUUUCAGCUUUUUCAGCCGAGGUGUUGUUCCUCCAGCAGCCGUGACAUGUUCAGCGUCAGUGUUUGUUUUCUCUUUAUAGUAUUGUAUCAUUCAAAUGAUACAAAAUCUUUCAAAAUAAUUCAAAAUAGGUGCUUUCUGUCUUAUGUUUUCUUUUUUAAUAGCAUGUUGUUGUAUAUUUAUUAUGGCGCUGGUGGAGAAAAAGACUGACAUAUCAACGACUGUGAAAAAAUGUACAUUUUUAAAAAUUAAGAUAGAUAAGAUCGUGUAAAUGAUAUAACAAGCAAAAAAAAGUAUAUAAGCUUUCAAAAGAGAAAACAAAUGGACGAGUGUUCUGUUUGUAAAAAAAAAAAAAAAGUCUGAUGGUGUUUAGGGUUUAUGAUGAUGAUGAUCGAUGCUUUCGACAUGCGCUAUAGCUAAAUGAGCCGUACCGUGACUAAGUGGUUGCUUUUCUUGCACAAGUGUCCUAACUAUCGAAAAAACAUGGAUGUAUGGGCGGAGCUAAAAAUACUGCAGAUCACUGAUUGAUCCAAAGCUUCUUUCUCUUUUCUAAUCUUCUUUGUUAUCACAGCUUUGGGAGGCAACGUCACAAUUUUAUCGAGUUAAAUAUUUUAAAUUAGUUUUUUUGUAAAUUCAUUUUUAUUUUUUUUUUAUUUAUUUACCCACCAUUUAUUUCAUUCUUGGCUUUACCAUUCUUACCCGUAAAUCUUCCAUUUAGUCCAAAUCCUAAAUGACUUCAUAUGUGCUAUACAUGCUCACUACACAGGGUACAACAUAAGAGUGCUGUAGGACUGAAUGUAGUGCAUUACACACUCCGAAAGAAGCUGUUUGAGAUUUGGUCAAAGUUGAAGAUUUUUGAAUCAAAUCUAAAGGAAACACUGAGAAAGAUAUACGGUUGUUUAAUUAAGUAAAAAAAAAAAAAAAGAAUUUUACUAUUUAAUUGGAUGAUAAAAUGGAGGCAACUUUUAAAUCACCAUUUUAUCAUCCAAUUAAGUAUUUUACAUUUUUAUUUAUAUAUCCACCGUAAUAUUGUCUCAUUGCGUUUUGCUGAUUUGACAUUUCUUACCCAUGAUGGAAAAUAAAUAAAUAAAAAAAAAAUGCUAUCUUAAAUGCCAUCUUAAAUUUAGACCAAAUCCCAAAUGGCUUCAUGUUCACUAUAUAUGCUCACUACAUAGGGUAUGAGGUAAUGGUGCUGUAGGAUGUGUGUAGUGCUCUACAGAACGCCAUUCGAGAUCCAGAGAAACUGCACGACUACUUGUGUGGUAUGUCUUGUCAUAUUCUCUGUAUUGCCACCAAAAGUAUUGGCCCCCUCAGCUUAAAACUUAAAACAAAUAAUAAAAGUAAUUAGCUGAUGCUAGUGAUACUAACUAGUCAACUAACUGAUCAGAAGAAACAGCAUCAGAUCGCAAAGCCUUCUGGGUUUAAAUUCUGCUCCUAAAAUCUCGAGUCAUCCUGAGAGACUCAUUCCUCACCUGAUCUGAUAAAGUAACGGAACAGAGCUGAAGAUAGUGACGGGGAUUUAAUCAGUGUGAAAUAGAAAGCGUGAUAAAAUCGGAAUGGUUUCUUCUGAGUGUCUGAUCUGAUCCAGGAUCAGUGUUGCGCCUCGCCUCGUACCAACUCCAGCUCAGUGAGGGACACGGUGAACUGAUUUCAGAUCUGUGUGGAAAUCUUUCUGCUUUAUCGCCACCUGGUGGUUCUGAGGUUUCAAUUCAGCUGCCAUUUCUAAAGGCCUCAAGUCUAAAUAAAACUGAGAAACUGCAGGAUGUAGAAGAUCUGAAAUUUUACAUUUUGUUUUCGCAAUUCAAAGAUUUACACAGUUUGAGUUAUUUAUAUGCCCUACUGUAAUUCUUAAACUGAUGUUAGUGCCUAGUGUGUGAGCAUCCUCUUUCUUUCUUUCUUUCUUUCUCAUUUAUUUAUUUGUCCUUUUAUUUCUCCUCUCAUUCAUUGUUUAUUGUUUUUCUUUAUUUCUCCUCAUCUUCCCAUUUUUCUUUUUGUUCUUUUUUUCUUGCCUUUCUUUUGUUCCUUUUCUCAUUUGUUUCUUUCCUUCUUUGUCCUUUGUCUAAUUUCUUUCAUUUUAUUUCUUCUCUCAUUUCUUUCUUUCUUUCUUUCUUUCUUUCUUUUUGACCCUAACAAGUUGAAAAAAAUUGUGAUAAACAGCAUAUCAUUACACACUUUAUUCAUGAUCCUCUUCCCCUUAUUGAAGUAAACAAUUCUGACGUUUACAAAUGACUCGUGUCCAAUAAGGACAUCAAUAUUAUAUCAUUUAAAUACAUAGAAACGAUAAAAUGAUAAAAUGGUAGAAAUAUAAAUGUAUUUAAUUCUUUAGAAUUGUGUUAAGUUGAGUACAAUGUAUAAAAAAAUGAAAGCUAUGCUUUAUAUUCUAGCUCGAGAGCUAACUGUAAAUAUUUCUAGCCAAAACCUUUAAAGAUUUAAAUAAUUCAUAUUAAUAUCUGUUUAAUAUCUGAUAUCAGGAGUUCGAUGGGAGUUUAUCUGAAAUUAUUAGGUAUGUUUUUACAGGUCAAUCACUGCCAUAACGUCCAUUUUUGUAUUUAUUUUGUGUUGCUGGACGAGCACGUCCACUUUUCAACAUUUUAAUAAAAUGUUGAUGAAAACUUAAUCACUCUUUUAUUCUUUAUUAUGCUUAAUAUAAAUGAUGAACUUAUUAUAUAUUUUAUUUAAUUCUAUGCUACGCAGAUGAAGUGGAAAAUUUGUUGUAAUGAUGAUUUAAUCAAGUGCUGGUUAAUCCUGAGUAAAAAAACAGUAAUACAUGUGUAAAUAUUUGUCACAGUAACUAGUUAAACUAUAGAGCAAACUCCAAAAUAGUGCUUGAAAAGUGUUUGCUCAUGGAGGAGUGGCCCAAGAGUCUCCAAAACCUCGCUACACAUUACAGGAAGAGAUGAAAUUAUUGUAAGGGAGCCACUAAUUUUGAAACCAGCAUGAAAAAUUGCACUAUUUAAAAAAAUAUUGGUGUUUAAACAAAACUAUACAGUGUCCACUUAUGUUUAAGUUCUAAAUAUCACUCAUUGUACGUGUUGUUUAUUUUAAACAUUAAUUUGUGCUCAUUUCCACUCCAAUAAUUCAGGAGUUGCCUGUUUAAUUGGUGUACUGAUUUAGCAAGCUAAACUCCGGGAGGUAUCCGGGUUAGCAGUGUGGCGUUGGAUCUUACCCAAGUGUGUGAAUUAGAUGUCAGCUUUGGGGAUUAAUGAAACGUGCUGAGCUACAUUCUUACAUUUGCCUGUUAUUGCGGAAUCAAGUUGAGACAAAUCCAACUUCCAGUACUGCAUUUCUCGCAUUUCUCACAAGGAUGAUGCUAACCAUUACGAUUGUAAUGUUUUACAUUAAGGUUCCCUUUAAUACCACAGUGCUGUUGAGUUCUGGUCAGAAGGUAUUGAUUCAUUUUCUGUAACAGCAGCUCUGACAGUAGUGCAGCUGCAAAUCACAGCUUUACAUGUCAAGCUACUUUUUUUUUUUUUUUUCAUUUUUAUUACCGUGAAGAAGAAGUGAGCGAACAACUGUCUAGUUAUAACAGGAACUCACUUGUUUUGUGGAAGUUCCACAACAUUAAAUGUAACUACAAACAGAUCAGUAAGGAUUUGGUUAAAGAAAAUACCCCAAUCUUUCUGUAUCACCACUAAAUUCAUUACUAAAACUUAAAGAGAUGAUGGAAUAACCACGACUCGAGGAGGAAGCUGUCCAUCAAAAGUGACCGGGUAAAGAGGGGAUUAGUCUGAGAAGUGACCAAGAGGUCAAGGGUAACUCUGAAGGACUUUGAGAAGCUGUUUACAGGAAAAUAAUUUCCUGGAAACUCCACAAAGCUGGGAUUUAUUGAUGAGUAAAGACAAGAGAAAAAAAACAUAUGAGUUUGUCAAGAUGGAAUGAUGAAGAGUCAGUGGAGAAGUUUCUCUGGUCUGAUGAGACCAAAAUUGAACUUAUUUGGUCUCAGGACAAAGGGUAACAUUUGGCAGAAACCCAACACUGCUCACUGUGAAGCAUGGUGGUGGUAGCAUUGUGCCGUGGAGACUGAGAAACUGGUCAGGGUUGAGGGCGAGAUGGAUGAAAAAGAUUCAGGGCUAUCCUAAAAGAAAACCUGUUCCUGUCUGCAAGAGACUUGAAACAGUGGGUGGAGCUUCCAAAUGGACGACAAUGCUAGGAAUGCUGCCAAAGCUACAGUGGGGAAUGUGUUAGAACAAUGCAGUCAAAGUCUGACUGAGAAUCUGUGGCAAAAAUUGCUGUUCACUAACAACAGCCUCCAUCUAAUCUCACCGAACUUGAGCAGGUUUGCCUGGAAGAAUGGGCAAAAAAAAUACCCGGAUCCAGAUGUGCAAAGCUGAUAGAGACAUAGCCCGGGGUGGGGGUGUGUGUGUGUGUGUGUUUGUGUGUUCCUUAAUUAAUGUUUGCGUGAUAAUACACAAUAUUCUUUCUCAAAUUUUAGACAUAAUAGUAAAAAAGAGUCCAUUUCAAUUCUAAAUUGUAACACUACAAAAUGUGGAAAGGUUCAAGAGGGGGGUGAAUACUUAAGCAAGCCACUACAUUUGUCCAAGACAAGAGAACUGUUAUAGUUUAAUAUCUCUCAUACACACAUUGUUUAUCUUUUUUUCCACUCCCUCCACUUCCUGUUAGUCAUUCCAGCCUCUCUCUCUCUCUCUCUCUCUCUCAUUUACAUACACCAUCUUCCUUCUUCUCUAUUCUAUUCACCAUCACUCCUCCUUUUCCAUGGUGGCGACUAACGGAUUUCCUUCUUGCCACCACACACACACACAUAUACACACACACACACACACAUAAACCCUCCUCUUAUUUCCCAGCAGUCUGUGCGAGAGGCUGAACAGCUCUAUAUAAAGACACAAGAGGGAAAAGGAGGGGCGCGGUGCAGCAGGGAAACUCGCACUGAGACUUGCCGGGACAGACGGAGAGAGAGAGGAGAGAGAGAGAGACGGAAGGCUGAGACACCAGACAUACACACACACAACCAAGAUAGAGGAAAAUCCCUAAGAUAACACAUCCAUAACCAUGGCAG